rnacentral:tRNA from 1 species
GGUUUGGUGACCGAAUCUAAGUGACAGAUUUUUAAUCUGUUUAUGAGUCAUAGACUCCCAAGCU